rnacentral:lncRNA from 1 species
AGAACUUAAAACAAAGUGCUCGAAAUCAGGGUUGUUAGCAGAGUUCAAAGAAAACCGAGAAAACACGGAAUUAAAAAGUUAUCAAGAAAAACAAGGAAAGUGAAGGAUUCAAGAAAUUUAUAUUAAUUUAAAAUUAAAUUAUUGUAAUAUAUAAAUUCUAAACUUUUAAUUUUUUUAGAACCUAUUAACUAAAAUUUCCAAACUUAUUUAAGGAAGCGUUGUAAAGAUAUUUCAUGAUUUUUUAAUUUUGCAGGGAAUGAUGUGCAGAAAACCAUUAACAAGCAUAAUAAUAAUAAUAAUAAUAAUAGUAUUGGGAGUGAUCCUUCUACGAAGCUCACUUUUGGCACUCAGACCGAGUCCAUUGUGCCCCUCCGUUAUCAGCUGCCUUAGCGGGGCCCCGCUUCUUUCCAGAAGCGGAGCAGACCCCACAGGCAGCUGCCCCACCUAAUCUGCAUCUAGAAAACCUGAGCCUAGCAGGCGUGUUCUUGGUCCGAACAAUGCUGGACAGUACCCAAGAAUGUGAAAGCUAGUCUCCUCCUCUUCAUCACACCACUUGCAGUCGGGCGUAUUACUACGGCCCAAUUUGUGCAGGUGGUAGUUAAGGGGUUACAUACACCUAGAAAUUUUGAAAAAAUGCAUUUUUCGUUUUUUACAUAUUCGUAAAGUAUAAGGUCUUGAGAAUAUUUCCUGCAAGUUUCAAAGUGAUUCCUUGAAAAUUGUCGGAGAUAUAGCGAGAAAGGUCCAAGCGCGUUCGACGACGCUGGGGCGCGAUGGGCACCUUCUAAUCCUUCGCAGCAGAUAGUUUACGAAAGAAUAUUACGCCGGCAAGUUAAAAUCGAAGCCUUUGAUGCCGCUACAUCUGGAGAUGGUUCACUGUAUGGCCCUGGAGUGGAUGACUCCAUAUAAGUUCUGUACGAGCUGCAAUUGGCACCGCAAAACACUUUUUUUUAACAAGAUCUUGCGACGAGGACAAUAUUUCCGCCAUUUUUAAAUAUUUUUAGUUCAAAUUUAUUCUGAAACAUGUUCUAAGAAUGUAUUUUAAAGUAAAGAAAACUAGGAUUAAUUACAUACACUAUGUUUCGAAAAAAAAAAAUUGAGAAAAAGAUCUAUUUUUUACGUCUUUAGGUGUAUGUAACCCCUUAAGAUCGCCAUGACCCGUGAGCAGCCGCGUCACAAGCCUGGCGCCCUUUCUGCUUAGAGAUCUUCUGGCUAAUCCCCCGCCGGGGCACUCCCCAAGGUUCUGGCCUGUCUUGAUCUCCGUUUCUUUUCUCCAGUACUCAAAAUGCUAUUCCCUGAGCCAGCUCCUGAUCCUUCCCCUGCCCAGACAGAAAGAGAUCCCAACAGCCGGCUCCGGUCCCAGCAACCUUGUUUCCACCGCCUCUUUAGCGAGUAGAUCGGCCAUUUUGUUGCAUUUGAUCCCUAAGUGCCCGGGAACCCAUACUAGGCCAACAUCAUUUUUUUUCGCUCGUCCAGUACGCAUUUGCAAUCCCAGACUAGCCGCGAGUUAAUUCUCGGAUCCUCAAGCGUCUUAAGUGCCUCCUGACUGUCCGAGCAGAUCCUAAUGCGCCUUCCUACCCUAUCAGACUCUAAUAGGUCCUGAGCACAUCUCAUGAUAGCUAUCAUCUCUGCCUGAAAAACUGUAACGUGUUUACUAAGCGAAAUGAUGAUCUUUGCUUCACUGCGCUGGCAAUAAAGACCCGCUCCAGAGCCCGUGCUCAUUAACAAGCAUGAAUAAAAAGAAAAAUUAUAAUAUUUUGAUUUUUGCAAACUUAAAAUAUGUAACGUUAAUGAUGUUUCGCAAAUCAUUCACAACAAGAUUGUACAAAAUUAUACAAAAUAUUUAUGAUGCUUCAGUAAUUAUGUAUUUUUUAACGAACGAAUUUAUUGCAAAAAAUUUAAUUUUUGUUUCGUGUAUAAUAUUAUUGAAUGUUUCAAAAUUAUAGAUAAAAAGUUUCUGACUAAAGAUUUUAACUAAAGUUUCUAAUUAAAAUUAUAAUUAGAACAGUGUUUUAACAAGAUUAUUAAAUCUCAAUGAACAAAGCAAAGACGAAAUAUUAAUAUAAUUUUUAUUCAAUGCUCCUUUCAGGCUUCAAUCAAGGAGUUUUCUGUAAAGUGACUG